rnacentral:rRNA from 1 species
UACGUAGGCAGCGAGCGUUGUUCGGAAUUACUGGGCGUAAAGAGCUCGUAGGUGGUUCGGUAAGUCGGAUGUGAAAUCUCCAGGCUCAACCUGGAGGGGUCAUUCGAUACUGCCGUGACUAGAGUUCGGUAGGGGAGUGUGGAAUUCCUGGUGGAGCGGUGAAAUGCGCAGAUAUCAGGAGGAACACCCGUAGCGAAGGCGGCGCUCUGGGCCGAUACUGACACUGAGGAGCGAAAGCGUGGGGAGCGAACAGG